UAUCUCAUCUCGCGUCGCCCCGAUCCAAUCUUGCGCUGUCUCCUUCCUUUCCCCGUCUCGAUCCAAUCUGCUCGCAUCCCCUCCGCCGCUCCUCUCCAGCAGCCCCCACGCUCCCACUCCCGCCCCGUCCACCUCCGCCGCCCCAUCAUCGAUGCAACAACCACCGCCACCGCUGCCAUCGAGGCCCCGGAGGAAGCCGUUGCAGCACCGGUGGUGGAAGAGGCGCCGCCGACGCCGCCGACGCCGCAGGCAGCCGCGCUCGGUAGGAGCAGCCUCUGCACGGGAGAAUUCUCCACAUGAUCUGGUGACGCAAGCCGUCGACCCACCUGAAGAACUCCGUGUCGUGCGGCUGCUCUUCUGGACGCUCUCGGCGCUGCUCGUCCAUGGCGUGAUCUCCGCUGCCGCUGCCUCCAACCACGCCGACCUCUUGCUCCAGUUCUUCCAGUUGGCUUAUAGCUGGGUGGGUUCUGGGCUUCUGGCCGGAGCCAGCCACCGUGGCGUUCCUCUACCACGCCCGCUGCAUCCUCCUCGAGACCAUGCCGCCCUUCUCUGUUUCCCUGAUGAGGCCACGGUCGCAGGCAUUUUGGGGCGCUGCUCCCAUCCAAAUGCUUUGUUGUGGCGCUCCUCCUCUCAUUCUCUCCAUUUAAAUCUUUGAGCAGGAAAUCAAUGGCGCUUUCUCGCUGUGCAGGAGUGGACAUGUUCAGCGCGUGUGGGAUUUCUCAAGUUCAAAGCUGACAUCGUCGAUGAGAAGACUGAACGCAAGCAGGCUGAAGGUGGAGGAGGGCGUGGACGGGAUUUGGUCCCGGCAUUGCACUCGGAGAUGCUCUAAUAUUUAAGGAGUCCUUGUUUCUUAUAUUAUUAUUUUAUCACAUUGCCAUCAAAUUAAAAUGCUUGUUUGAGUAAAUAGCACAUAAUGUACUAGUAACUCUUUGCUACUACCAUUAUUGGCAAGUUUUUGUAAGUAAUCUUUCUAGUCAAGCACUUGUUUAUCAUCUAUAGUAAUCUUAAGUUUUGCCAUUUUUCUCUUCUGGAUUUUCUCAUCUUGUUUUCAUAGGCUUGCUGGCUGCGUCUUCUAUUUUACUUGGUACACUUGUUAGACCCCAAAGCGUUGAAAUCUUCAUUUUUUGUUAAUACAAUAUUUAAUGAGUACUACGUUACAGAAUCUAUUUUGUUAAUUUUUACCAUCAAUGCAAAGACAAACAUGUAUUUGCAUGCUAAUUUUGCUACUUUAUUAAAUUCAUGUCUGUUUUAGAAAGUACAGAUGCGCAUGAAAAAUUGUUGCAUUGUCUAAGGUCCAAUUCCAAACGAGUUGAAGCAGAAUUCAUUUUGUUAGUUUUAUGACACAGGCUAGUAAGUAUUUUGCAAUUCAUUUAGUUCCACUCUUUUUCAUCUUGUAGGUUUAGGUACUACAAGCAUGCCACUAGCUCGGGAGAGUGAGAGGGAAAGGAGGGCAUUCCUCGCGGAACAUAAAUGCAUAGGUUGUGUGUAUGCUAAGCUAAGGGGGGCAUUGAUUACAUGUACUUUAACCAUUAUACCUCUAGCUCUAGGUUAUGCAUGUUAUCUUGUCAGUUUUCAUCUCAUUAUGAUGCAACGUUGUUGUGUUUGUCAUUUAUAGGCAUCGGGAGGAGUUAGCCGCAAGACCUGAAGCACAAGAGAGAGCAUUUGAAGCGAUACAAAAGAAGCAUCAAGAAGAAUUGGAAGCUCUAAAGAAGAUCCAACAAGAGAAGAAUGAAGCCUGGCAAAGAAGCAAAAGGAGACGUAUAUUCUGCUUGAUUUUCUCUUGAGGGAUCAAGCAACUCUGUAGUCCCAAUCCAAACUAGAUGGUUCAUGAAAGCCAUCCUUACAUUGCAAUUGUCAGGACAACAUCUGUGGUCUUUACAACUAUUUUCAUCUUGUCUAUUGUCUGUCAAACUUGAGUCAGUUUUUUACCCUCAUUUUUGUUUACAGAAUGAUUUGGCUGAGACGAUAUAUCAAUUUAUGA